GACGAACGCUGGCGGCGUGCUUAACACAUGCAAGUCGAACGGAAAGGCCCUGCUUUUGUGGGGUGCUCGGGUGGCGAACGGGUGAGUAACACGUGAGUAACCUGCCCUUGACUUUGGGAUAACUUCAGGAAACUGGGGCUCAUACCGGAUAGGAGCUCCUGCUGCAUGGUGGGGGUUGGAAAGUUUCGGCGGUUGGGGAUGGACUCGCGGCCUAUCAGCUUGUUGGUGGGGUAGUGGCUUACCAAGGCAUUGACGGGUAGCCGGGCUGGGCGGGUGAGCGGCCAAAUUGGGAUUGAGAUACGGCCCAGACUCCUACGGGAGGCAGGAGUGGGGAAUAGUGCACAAUGGGCGGAAGCCUGAUGUAGCAACGCCGCGUGCGGGAUGACGGCCUGCGGGUUGUAAUCCGCUUUCGCCUGUGACGAAGCGUGAGUGACGGUAAUGGGUAAAGAAGCACCGGCUAACUACGUG
rnacentral:rRNA from 1 species